rnacentral:rRNA from 1 species
GACGAACGCUGGCGGCGUGCUUAACACAUGCAAGUCGAACGGAAAGGCCCUGCUUUUGUGGGGUGCUCGAGUGGCGAACGGGUGAGUAACACGUGAGUAACCUGCCCUUGACUUUGGGAUAACUUCAGGAAACUGGGGCUAAUACCGGAUAGGAGCUCCUGCUGCAUGGUGGGGGUUGGAAAGUUUCGGCGGUUGGGGAUGGACUCGCGGCUUAUCAGCUUGUUGGUGGGGUAGUGGCUUACCAAGGCUUUGACGGGUAGCCGGCCUGAGAGGGUGACCGGCAACAUUGGGACUGAGAUACGGCCCAGACUCCCACGGGAGGCAGCAGUGGGGAAUAUUGCACAAUGGGCGGAAGCCUGAUGCAGCAACGCCGCGUGCGGGAUGACGGCCUUCGGGUUGUAAACCGCUUUCGCCUGUGACGAAGCGUGAGUGACGGUAAUGGGUAAAGAAGCACCGGCUAACUACGUG